rnacentral:rRNA from 1 species
AGUGAACGCUGGCGGCAGGCCUAACACAUGCAAGUCGAACGGCAGCACAGGAGAGCUUGCUCUCUGGGUGGCGAGUGGCGGACGGGUGAGGAAUAUAUCGGAAUCUACCCUUUCGUGGGGGAUAACGUAGGGAAACUUACGCUAAUACCGCAUACGAACUGAGGUUGAAAGCGGCGGACCGCAAGGCGUCGCGCGGAUGGAUGAGCCGAUAUCCGAUUAGCUAGUUGGCGGGGUAAAAGCCCACCAAGGCGACGAUCGGUAGCUGGUCUGAGAGGAUGAUCAGCCACACUGGAACUGAGACACGGUCCAGACUCCUACGGGAGGCAGCAGUGGGGAAUAUUGGACAAUGGGCGCAAGCCUGAUCCAGCCAUGCCGCGUGUGUGAAGAAGGCCUUCGGGUUGUAAAGCACUUUUGUUGGGAAAGAAAAGCGGUCGGUUAAUACCCGGUCGUUCUGACGGUACCCAAAGAAUAAGCACCGGCUAACUUCGUGCCAGCAGCCGCCGUAA